rnacentral:rRNA from 1 species
UACGGAGGGGGUUAGCGUUGUUCGGAAUUACUGGGCGUAAAGCGCACGUAGGCGGCUUUGUAAGUUAGAGGUGAAAGCCCAGGGCUUAACCCUGGAAUUGCCUUUAAGACUGCAUCGCUAGAAUCGUGGAGAGGUGAGUGGAAUUCCGAGUGUAGAGGUGAAAUUCGUAGAUAUUCGGAAGAACACCAGUGGCGAAGGCGGCUCACUGGACUGGUAUUGACGCUGAGGUGCGAAAGCGUGGGGAGCAAACAGG